rnacentral:rRNA from 1 species
UACGAAGGGGGCUAGCGUUGUUCGGAAUUACUGGGCGUAAAGCGCACGUAGGCGGACAUUUAAGUCAGGGGUGAAAUCCCAGAGCUCAACUCUGGAACUGCCUUUGAUACUGGGUGUCUUGAGUAUGGAAGAGGUGAGUGGAACUCCGAGUGUAGAGGUGAAAUUCGUAGAUAUUCGGAAGAACACCAGUGGCGAAGGCGGCUCACUGGUCCGGUACUGACGCUGAUGUGCGAAAGCGUGGGGAGCAAACAGG